rnacentral:rRNA from 1 species
CCUGGUUGAUCCUGCCAGUAGUCAUAUGCUUGUCUCAAAGACUAAGCCAUGCAUGUCUAAGUAUAAAUGGUAUACAAUGAAACUGCGAAUGGCUCAUUAAAACAGUUAUAGUUUAUUUGGUAAUCGAAUUUACAUGGAUAACCGUGGUAAUUCUAGAGCUAAUACAUGCUUUUAGCCCGACUUCUCGGAAGGGCUGUAUUUAUUAGAUAACAGACCAAUAUUCCUCGUGUCUAUUGUGGUGAAUCAUAGUAACUAAUCGGAUCGCAUGGGACUAUCCCGCGACAAACCAUUCAAGUUUCUGCCCCAUCAGCUUUCGAUGGUAGUGUAUUGGACUACCAUGGCUUUCACGGGUAACGGAGGAUUAGGGUUCGAUUCCGGAGAGGGAGCCUGAGAAACGGCUACCACAUCUAAGGAAGGCAGCAGGCGCGUAAAUUACCCAAUGCUAACUCAGCGAGGUAGUGACAAGAAAUAACGGGUCGGGGCUUUGCCCUGGGACUGAAAUGAGAUGAAUUUACACCCCUUUUCGAGGAUCAAUUGGAGGGCAAGUCUGGUGCCAGCAGCCGCGGUAAUUCCAGCUCCAAUAGCGUAUAUUAAAGUUGUUGCAGUUAAAAAGCUCGUAGUUGGAUUUCUGGCAGGGAGUCAAUGCCCGCAAGUUGCGUGUGCAGAGAAUUCCUACCAUCCUUCUGUUAACCCUUCUAGUUAUUUGUUUAACUGUUGGGAGCCCAGAUAAUUUACCUUGAGAAAAUUAGAGUGUUUCAGGCAGGCUAGCGCCCGGAUACAUUAGCAUGGAAUAAUAGAAUAGGACUUUUAC